GGCAAUGGUAGCUCAGUGGUUAAAAUGUUGGACUACUGAUCGGAAGGUCAUAAGUUCAAAAUCCCAGCACUGCCA